CCCUUUUCUUAUUCAAUCACAUGCAAAUAACUGCUGAAUCAGCAAACCACGUGGUCAUUUUGAAGCGUGGAGCAAAUGGCUACUAUUGUCUCAGUGUUAGGUGGAGGCUUUGUCCAGCCCUAUAAUUUGUAGACCACAGUGACAUAGCCAGGACCAUGGAGAGAGACCAUUGCUGAGGAGGUGGGGAUGGCAAGUUCCUGGCCAAUCAGAUGAUCCUACAUGACGAAGCUGCUGGUAAAGAUGCAAGUCUGAUGACAAACUCAGGAUGAUGAGGCUAUGUUCAAGCUGAACCCCAAUGCAAAGACGUCAAGUUCAACCUGAAUGCCCAAGAGUUCAAACCUCCGAGAGCAAGCUUCUCUCCAGUGGUAACUGCCUCCUCCACACCUCUCCGGAUGAGUGCUGACUCGGCUUUGUUUAAGUCCAAGAGCAAGAAAUCAAAGUGGCUCGACUAAUGAGUUGUGUCGCGUCAGUUAGUGUGUAGAGUUGUAGUGAUCGAUACACCUGUACAUACGUUUUCUUGCAAGUGCCUACUUAAUCUUGUCACUCUAUAGGGGUUCUAUAAAUUAUAGAGUACAGUAGUAGUUUUACUGUUUCACUGGAAGUAUAAUUAUGUAGUGCAAUAAAGUACGUGUCUAUGAUUCUACUAAAACUCUUUUCUCAAAAGUUUCAGCCUAUAGUCUAGUUUUAUUUUAUUACUCCCGUUACUUGCUUAGCCAGAUCAUACAUACUAUUGUAUAACACUUGGAUUAUUUGUGUGGGUAGGCACUUCAGCAUGUAAGUACGUACAUAUUGUAUACCAGUACAUGUGUUGUGUGUGGUAUCCCUUUAUCAUAGUUGAGCCAUUUUGCAGUAUAAAUUAUAGCUACUAUUAUCAUGUGAUUUUCUCACCCCUUACUUCCUAAGCCCUCAAACUUCCACUCAGUGUGACUAUGACCAUGUGACUCUUUAACCCCUCAGUUCCCGAGCCCCACCCCUCAAUGUCUGACUCGGAAGAGGAGAUAGACUUUGUAUUCUGAGAGAAGGCGUCCACCCUACCCUCGGACAAGACCCCAACCAAGAACCUGAACUUGUUAUGAGACUGUUAAAUAUUAUUUUAUCUGUUUUUGUACUAUUUUCUGGCAAUGUAAUUAUGUAUGUACCACUUCAUGUCAUCAUAAUAACUAUAAUUUUAUGCGAUA